AUUGAACGCUGGCGGCAUGCCUUACACAUGCAAGUCGAACGGUAACGGGCCUUCGGGUGCCGACGAGUGGCGAACGGGUGAGUAAUACAUCGGAACGUGCCCGAUCGUGGGGGAUAACUAGGCGAAAGCGUUGCUAAUACCGCAUACGAUCUACGGAUGAAAGCGGGGGACCGCAAGGCCUUGCGCGGACGGAGCGGCCGAUGGCAGAUUAGGUAGUUGGUGGGGUAAAAGCUUACCAAGCCGACGAUCUGUAGCUGGUCUGAGAGGAUGAUCAGCCACACUGGGACUGAGACACGGCCCAGACUCCUACGGGAGGCAGCAGUGGGGAAUUUUGGACAAUGGGCGCAAGCCUGAUCCAGCCAUGCCGCGUGCAGGAUGAAGGCCUUCGGGUUGUAAACUGCUUUUGUACGGAACGAAAAGCCUUCUUUUAAUACAGGAGGGUAAUGACGGUACCGUAAGAAUAAGCACCGGCUAACUACGUG
rnacentral:rRNA from 1 species